UACGUAGGGUGCAAGCGUUGUCCGGAAUUAUUGGGCGUAAAGGGCUCGUAGGCGGUCCAUCACGUCGGGAGUGAAAAGCUGGGGCUUAACCCCAGUCCUGCUUCCGAUACGGGUGGACUAGAGGUAGGCAGGGGAGAACGGAAUUCCUGGUGUAGCGGUGAAAUGCGCAGAUAUCGCUUGGAACGCCGGCGGCGAAAGCGGUCUGCUGGGGGUGUACCGACGCUGAGACACGAAAGCCAGGGGAGCGAACGGG
rnacentral:rRNA from 1 species